UACGAAGGGGGCUAGCGUUGCUCGGAAUCACUGGGCGUAAAGGGUGCGUAGGCGGGUCUUUAAGUCAGGGGUGAAAUCCUGGAGCUCAACUCCAGAACUGCCUUUGAUACUGAGGAUCUUGAGUUCGGGAGAGGUGAGUGGAACUGCGAGUGUAGAGGUGAAAUUCGUAGAUAUUCGCAAGAACACCAGUGGCGAAGGCGGCUCACUGGCCCGAUACUGACGCUGAGGCACGAAAGCUAGGGGAGCAAACAGGAGUUAG
rnacentral:rRNA from 1 species